AAGCCCAAACGAAGAAAACAAAACAAAAAAAGAAUGGAAAGGGGUUAAAAGAAAUUAGUCACACGAGAAGAACUCACUAAUCGUUGUUGCGAUGCCGACGACAACUGCGGAGCACGGUGGGCGCGGCUAGGGGAUUCGCGGUGGCAGAUUGAGACUUCAAAGUCGCAGGUGAUGCGGAUUCGGCAGUAUAUGUGAUUAUGGAAUGCAACGGAUCUGAAAGCUGCAAUGAAGGCAUGGCAUAGAAGUUCAUAUAAUCAAAUAAUUAUGAUACUAUUUCUACCAAUUUGUUUUAUAUGUAGUUUAGAUCAUUCAAAAAAUAUCACAAGUUAUAUUGUAAUCCACGCAUAUGUAAUUUUUACUAGAUGACAUAGGUAGUAUGUGAUGCUAAAGAUUAGAGUUACUAAUGACAUAGGUAGUAUGUGAUUAUAAAGACUGUAACAUUAUGGACUAACCUUGUGCCUUUGCUGGAUGUAUGAAUGGAUAUGCCUCCUAUCCUUUUUCCGAA